GUGCCUUUGGCUAAGCCACUCUGUGAAUCCUUUUCCCAAAAUGGGCAGGACUAUCUUUCCUGUUAGCUCACGAAGAUUCCGGCAAGGAUCCUGCAGGACAGCUUGCAAUUCGAUGGGUAGAGCUUUUCUCAGCAGAGCAACAUGGCAAUGGGAAAAGGUUCUCAUUCUGAAUUACGUUUGUUGCAUAACAGCUAAAAAACAUGGGAGUUCUGGGUUAGGAGACUUCUAAAGGGGAGGAAUUCUGGGGUUGGCAUGGAAGGCAUAGUUCAUAGGAUGAGAGGAAGGUUGCUCUGGGCACUUAUGGUUUCAUUAGGAUUAUUAUUUAGUAAGACAGUGGGUGGCAUCUAACAGUUGCUAUUUCAACAGAUUCUCCCUUAAACUCUUGCAAAAAAAAGAGGGGGGCUCCAGAGAGUUGAAGAUUCUUCCUGAACAGUGUAGGUGUCUGCAGGGAGAAAUCAUCAGCCUUCCAUGAGUGGAAGUGUCAGGUGGAUCAAAACACCUUCUACGAGGUGCCAUUUCAAAGCUUUGCCUCUUCUUUUGCUUCCUCUUGUCCAUAGAAGGAAUGUAGCACCAACUCAAGUCUGGCCCAACAUUUUGCUGCCUGACGUGAAGGACAAGAUCUCCCUGCACCGCUGCCAACUGGUAAUUGUAUCUCACUUCAACACUGGUGAUGGGAUAGUGCCUUCUACAGCACCCAAAACAGCAGGCUAGUUCAGGGGGGCUAAGACAGAUCUCAUAGCAUGACUAGAGGAGGUCCUUAGGAAGGAUAGCCAGGGGUGUGUGUGAUUGUUGCUUCCACCCCACCUCCCAGCAUGUGUCACCUGCGGUGGUUACUUCAUUGGUAGGGGUGGCCCUGUAUGAACAACAUUACUCUGGAUUAGCGUGGGAAGAUAGUUUGCACAGAAAAGCUCAGACAAGCCUUGUCACCCAAGAAGGUAUUAUCACUUACUAAGCACUUUCUUCAUUAGCUCCCAUUCCACAUACAGCCCUUGCCCAAAAUCCUGGUUCACCUCCACACUCCUCUUACACCCCACAAGCCUUUGAGUCCUACUGUGAAAUACUGAGGGUGAGUAACUUCUACGCAUUUCCGUGAAGCUAACUAAUAAAACUAGCUUGGUGAGAGGUGACAGAAUGGGAUCAGAAUACGAGUAAUUAGUUUUACAAAAUUUGCUUCCAGUGUCACUGUAGAAAUGGCACUCUUUAACAGUUGUUAAAUCCCAUAAUCCCUGCUGAGGAUUUGGCCUGUUGAGUUUUAUACUGCACCUCGUGCUUUUCAUCUUGAUGAUCCUGGGGAAUAGAAGGGAAGGAAGGGCAUUUCUUCAGCGAAACCUGCCAAUGCAUCAGAGAAGCAAGUACCGGUAUGAAACACAAACUGCAGACUAGGACAAAACUGAAAUGGAGAGGAACAAUUCAUCCAUUUUGCUGAAGCAAAGCAGGUCUGUGCCUGGUUAGGGUCUGGACAAGAAAUCACUUGGCAGCCCCACAUAUACUUCAUGACGCAAGAAAGAUGGAAAUAAAUCUACCGAAUUAUAUUUGGCAAUAAAAACUAAUAAAGCACAGAAG